AGAGUUUGAUCCUGGCUCAGGAUGAACGCUGGCGGCGUGCUUAACACAUGCAAGUCGAACGGUGAAGGAGAGCUUGCUCUCCGGAUCAGUGGCGAACGGGUGAGUAACACGUGAGCAAUCUGCCCCUGACUCUGGGAUAAGCGCUGGAAACGGCGUCUAAUACCGGAUACGAGCUGCGAAGGCAUCUUCAGCAGCUGGAAAGAACUUCGGUCAGGGAUGAGCUCGCGGCCUAUCAGCUAGUUGGUGAGGUAAUGGCUCACCAAGGCGUCGACGGGUAGCCGGCCUGAGAGGGUGACCGGCCACACUGGGACUGAGACACGGCCCAGACUCCUACGGGAGGCAGCAGUGGGGAAUAUUGCACAAUGGGCGCAAGCCUGAUGCAGCAACGCCGCGUGAGGGACGACGGCCUUCGGGUUGUAAACCUCUUUUAGCAAGGAAGAAGCGAAAGUGACGGUACUUGCAGAAAAAGCGCCGGCUAACUACGUGCCAGCAGCCGCGGUAAUACGUAGGGCGCAAGCGUUAUCCGGAAUUAUUGGGCGUAAAGAGCUCGUAGGCGGUUUGUCGCGUCUGCUGUGAAAACCCGAGGCUCAACCUCGGGCCUGCAGUGGGUACGGGCAGACUAGAGUGCGGUAGGGGAGAUUGGAAUUCCUGGUGUAGCGGUGGAAUGCGCAGAUAUCAGGAGGAACACCGAUGGCGAAGGCAGAUCUCUGGGCCGUAACUGACGCUGAGGAGCGAAAGGGUGGGGAGCAAACAGGCUUAGAUACCCUGGUAGUCCACCCCGUAAACGUUGGGAACUAGUUGUGGGGUCCAUUCCACGGAUUCCGUGACGCAGCUAACGCAUUAAGUUCCCCGCCUGGGGAGUACGGCCGCAAGGCUAAAACUCAAAGGAAUUGACGG
rnacentral:rRNA from 1 species